rnacentral:lncRNA from 10 species
AGAGAACCAUGGAACCCAGUGACUAGUGUUCAGCUCUAUUAGGACGAACCCAGGCACUUAGCCAUGCAGGAACAAUGGCAAGCCUUUAGCCCGAUCGGGAGUGGCAAUGGGCGCCUCGAUGGAUCAGGAGCACAGCGGACACCCUGCCAGAUCUGGAGGGAUGGAAGUCAGCGGUGGGUCUGCGAAAGCGCAAACAGGAGUGGUGGACAGCAAGUGAAAGCUCACCUCGAGCCGUAAGGAACACGGAACAAAAGAGAGUGCAGUUGCAAGAUUUAAUAGAGUGAAGACAGAGCUCCCAUACAAAAAGAGAGGACCCAAAGAGGUCAUCAGUUAGAUGAAUAUGUAUUUGAAAGCUGUUCAUUCAUUGUGGAGAUGUGGGUAGACAGCAGUAAAUAUGCCCCAUGGCACUGAUUAACUCAAAGUGGCUCCAGGCCAAAGAUUUUAUGCUUCAGUGGAGAUAUUUUUGCCAGGUGUCUCAUUCUAUAAACUCAAUGGCUAUUGAGUUAAUCUUCAAGUUAUUUUCCUACGGGCCCUUUUAAGAGAAGGUUGGAAAGAAUGAACCAUGUUUACCAGAGAUGUUUCCCAAGAUGGACAACAGACUGACCAUGUUGAUUCAGAACUAAGUACUAAUAAAAAGGAGUUUAAUAAGAAGUCUAAUAGAAAUCAAAUUGUAUUUAUCAACUUUAAUUCUAUUUUAAUGCACGAGUCCUAACAGCCAAACGACUAAUAUGCUGACAUUUCUUAAUUCAUUUUUUCUGACUGUGCUCCCAAAAGGUGUGUGAAAAUGCAGUUUAUAAAUUAA